rnacentral:rRNA from 1 species
CAGCCGUAAACUAUGCUCGCUAGGUGUCAGGGACGGUGCGACCGUUUCUGGUGCCGCAGGGAAGCCGUGAAGCGAGCCACCUGGGAAGUACGGUCGCAAGGCUGAAACUUAAAGGAAUUGGCGGGGGAGCACUACAACGGGUGGAGCCUGCGGUUUAAUUGGACUCAACGCCGGAAACUCACCGGGGGCGGACAGCAAUAUGUAGGUCAAGCUGAAGACUUUGCCGGAUUAGCUGAGAGGAGGUGCAUGGCGUAGUCGUGU